GUGCUCACUUCAACAGCACAUAUACUAAAAUUGGAGCAAUACAGAAAAGAUUAGCAUGACCCCUGUGCAAGAAUGACACACAAAUUCAUAAAGUGUUCCAUAUUUUU
ensembl:snRNA U6 U6 spliceosomal RNA